rnacentral:misc_RNA from 1 species
GAAGAAGUGGUGCUUGGAGCUUUCAGCUUGCCGUGUGAUCACAGCGGUCGCCCUAUUAUUUGUUCAAAGGUUCGCACUUCUUGUAGGUUUUGGGGCUCAAAUUGGGUUAAAUUUCACAAUUCUAGGGUUUGCUGUUUUGAUAUUUACGGCUUCUUCUUCUUGAAUUUUCAUCUGUAUUUCUUCGAAUUAUUUAGUAUUGGGCGUUGCCGCCAGGAUCAGGAGCUGAUUAAGCAAAGGUCGGAGAAAUCCAUUUUUUGCUGCGGCCAAGUAGUGCAUAUUCUGCAGUCUGGUGGAUGGCUAGGAAAGACAAGUUGCCUGGAGGUGGUUCUGCUGGUUUUGCCACUAAUUAUGGAUCGGAGGGCUCUGGCAGUUCAGGGAGAUUCGAUGCUAGAAUCUCUGUUUCAGGACAUUCAAUUGCUCCUCAGCAGAGAUGGAUAAACAUAAAUUCUUCUUCACAUGAUGGUUUCGCUGUGCCCAUCCAUGUUAUACUGCAAUCCAAGCUGUCACCAUCUGAGAGGAAACACUUGGUUCUGCAAUUGACAUCUGAUAUUGAACAAAUUAGACUUCUUCAAAAGAAAGUUGAGUUUUAUAGGACAAGUGCAAUUGCAGUUUCAUCUUCUAGUGAUAUUGUUAGCUGUAGCAAUGCACAGAAAGGGCUCCCUUUAGCAAGCAAGAAGAGAUCUGCAGGAAACCCUGGGUUUGGAAAAAAGUCAAACCCUUCCGCUCAGAAGACACGAGGCCAGAGCAGGGAGGUGUCAGGCAGGUUUAAAUCUGUUAAGCCUGCUUCAGUACCAUCCCGUUCAAAUGCAACAUUGAUGAAACAGUGUGAGAACUUGUUGAAAAAGUUGUUGUCACAUCGUAAUGCGGGUGUAUUUAAUGAACCUGUUGACAUAGUUAAGUUGAACAUUCCCGACUAUUUCACUGUCAUUAAACACCCAAUGGAUUUGGGGACAAUAAAUAAGAGGCUGACUUCAGGUGCUUACUCGACUCCACGGGAGUUUCUUGCUGAUGUUAGACUGAUGUUUUCAAAUGCAUUGACCUACAACCCCCCUGGUAAUAUUGUAAAUGUCAUGGCUGAUGAGAUGAGCAAAUUUUUUGAACUGAGAUGGAAAACUAUUGAGAAAAAGCUGCCUACUAACCAUGCUGAAUUAGUGGAAGAAAAAUCAGGCUUGCAUGAAGAAAAUGGAUCUGCUUCAAAGAAGAGGAGAGUUUCUCCAACGCAGCAUGUAGUUGUGCCAGAACCUCCUAAAUCCAAGAUGACCGAUGAAGAGAAACAUAAACUUAGUGGUGAAUUAGAAGCUUCACUUGGUGAUCUACCCGACAACAUCCUUGAGUUUUUGAAGGAAUUGAGUUCAAAUGGAACAGCAACUGAAGAAGAUGACAUUGAGAUUGACAUUGAUAUUCUCUCUGAUGAUACUCUGUUCACGUUACGGGCGCUUCUAGAUAAGUUUUUGCUAGAGAAACAAAAAGGCAAUGCAAGAGCUGAACCUUGUGAGAUAGAGCUGCCAAAUGAAUUGGGGCUUAGUAAUUCAUCCAUGCACCUAGGAGGAGAUAAUGACCAUGUUGAUGAGGAGGUCGAUAUUGGUGGAAAUGAGCCUCCUGUCUCCAGUUAUCCUUCACUUGAGAUCGAAAAAGAUACGGAUCCCAAAAGAGAUGAACGUAUAAAUACAGGGGGUCCCAAUGAUUCAGAUUCUAGUAGUUCUUCUGAUGACGAGUCUGAAACUCAAAGAACACCUGAUCAUGCUGAGCAGGAUCACAGUUCUCCAGUAAAGACAGGUGGAAAGGAAGCUGGCAAUAGUUUAGCUGAUGGAAAUCACUCUAUCGACAGCCUUGACCAGCUGGAACAAAGUUCUCAGCAAAUGCCGUUCUCUGUUGACUCAGAAGCAGCAUAUCAAGAUGGAGAGAGUAGGGUCUCCCCUGGAAAGCUCUAUAGGGCUGCUCUCCUGAAGAACAGAUUUGCGGAUACAAUUUUAAAAGCUCGAGAGAAGACACUUGUUGAGGUCGAGAAGGGUGAUCCGGAGAAACUUCGUCGUGAAAGGGAGGAGCUUGAGAUGCAAAGGAGGAAAGCGAAAGCUAAGCUGCAAGCAGAAGCGAAAGCUGCUGAAGAAGCUCAAAGACGUGCAGAAGUGGAAGCUGCAGCUGAGGUUAAGAGAAGGAGAGAGCUCGAUAGAGAAGCAGCAAGACAGGCGUUACUCCAGAUGGAAAAGACUGUAGAGAUUAAUGAGAAUUCAAAGUUCCUUGAGGAUUUGGAGAUGCUGACUGCUGUUCCUUCCGAGCAGCUACACAGCUCGGUAGACGAGACCAGUCCAGAUCAUUCCCAGGAUGGAUUAGGUACCUUCAAAUUUGGAGGCAGUAAUCCCUUGGAGCAACUUGGGUUGUACAUGAAGAUGGAUGAUGACGAGGAAGAAUGUGAACUGGCUACUCUUCAAAGUGAUGAUCCUAUUGAUGUUGAGGAAGGUGAAAUUGAUUAAAGCUAUUACCCUCUGCCCCAAUGUGUUGCUGUAUCAUAGCAUUCCAGAAUAUGUGAUUGGUUUAGUAACAUGAAUCCGUUUUCCACCUAGAAACCCG